GACGAACGCUGGCGGCGUGCUUAACACAUGCAAGUCGAACGGAAAGGCCCUGCUUUUGUGGGGUGCUCGAGUGGCGAACGGGUGAGUAACACGUGAGUAACCUGCCCUUGACUUUGGGAUAACUUCAGGAAACUGGGGCUAAUACCGGAUAGGAGCUCCUGCUGCAUGGUGGGGGUUGGAAAGUUUCGGCGGUUGGGGAUGGACUCGCGGCUUAUCAGCUUGUUGGUGGGGUAGUGGCUUACCAAGGCUUUGACGGGUAGCCGGCCUGAGAGGGUGACCGGCCACAUUGGGACUGAGAUACGGCCCAGACUCCUACGGGAGGCAGCAGUGGGGAAUAUUGCACAAUGGGCGGAAGCCUGAUGCAGCAACGCCGCGUGCGGGAUGACGGCCUUCGGGUUGUAAACCGCUUUCGCCUGUGACGAAGCGUGCGUGACGGUAAUGGGUAAAGAAGCACCGGCUAACUACGUG
rnacentral:rRNA from 1 species